GACCGAUAGGCCUAAUGGAUAAGGUGUCUGGCUUCAAAUCAGAAGAUUGAGGGUUCGUGUCUCUUCGUGGUUA
rnacentral:tRNA from 1 species